ensembl:lncRNA
UGCUUUCAAAUUAUAAAUACAUAAAAGAUUUUAUGUAAACCAUGUGUUUUUCACACACACAUUUCAAGCCUCUAAAUGAUCAAAAUGUUUUUCUAAACUUGUCUUCUGUCCCUGAUUGAGAGUUCAGAGUGUUUUAUCCAGUCAGAGCUCUUUUAGUGUAAUCAGCUUCAGCUGCUGCUUCUGGUGUCAGAUCUUGAGUGAUUUUGAUCAAGUAAAGGUCAGAAUAACUGCAGUAAUAUCUCCAGAUGAACUCUUACUGGACUUUACUUGAUUCUCCAUCAAUCAUGUUUUAGAGUCUCAAAUCUGAUCAUCAGGAUCUUCUGAGGAGCGUUUGUUUCCAGAAGCUUUACUUUCACUGUUCCUCAGCGGAGGAAUGAUCUUCACAAGCCUCCAGAACAUCUCACAUCUUCUGAGGAGCCUUUAUUUCUUCAUCUCUCAAUCACUGCAUUAUAUGUUUGGAUCAUUUACUGCAGAUAUAGACCGACCGCUGAUAUUUAGAUCAGUUUAUCUGCAGUUAGAAAGCAAUAAACAUCCAUGUGUGUUUCUGAAAGAAGUUAACAUGAAGAACGCAUGCACACAAACUCUCUCACUUUGACCAUUUAUUCACAUCGUUUUCAU